rnacentral:rRNA from 1 species
UGCGCAGGCGGAACUUUAAGUCAGUGGUGAAAUCUUGCCGCUUAACGGUAAAAUUGCCAUUGAUACUGAAGUUCUUGAAUAUGGUUGAGGUAGGCGGAAUGUGUUGUGUAGCGGUGAAAUGCAUAGAUAUGACACAGAACGCCGAUUGCGAAGGCAGCUUACUAAGCCACUAUUGACGCUGAGGCACGAAAGCGUGGGGAGCGAACAGGAUUAGAUACCCUGGUAGUCC